CUGAUCUUUGCACAAAGCUUCACAACUUAUUCGCAAAUAUGUCAUAUCAGAGAUAACUUCCUGUCACCAGCAGGUGAUGCUACCAGAAAAGAGCGUACGAGGUGGGGACUGAAGACGGAGUCAUAAUGAAGGGAUUAUGUAGUAAGUGGAGGAAGAAGAAGCACGAAAGUCUUACUGUUGACUCCUGACUGGCUGAAGCUGGGGGAGAUCAAGUGAGUAUCACCUGUGCCUUUUAAAUGGAGGAAAUACAAAUGCAUAUCUUUCAGGUGAGAAACUGUUUAGAAUUCAGCAAUGUGCAAGAGAUAUUCACAGAUUGUAAUUAAUCAUCAAUCAAGCUACCUUAAAUUGCUAUAAUCAAUAGAAUUUAGAGUCUUAUGUCUCCUGUACUAUGAUUUAUUUUUUAUUUUUUUCACUGAUGUAUGCCAAAUCUUAUGAGAUAUAUUACUUUAAAAGCUUUCUUUCUAAAGUAACAUCUCAUAGAUAUUGACAGAAUCUGGUUUCCAGCUUUGUGGUCUGUUGCUUUUCAUUUUGUUGCAGGUCUGACAGUUUUUGACCAUGUCACAAAAUUAGCAGAUAUCGCUGAGUGUUACUUGCCUCCUGCUAAUCUGCUCACCCGCGCCCCUGUAUAACUGCCAUAAAACAAGAGCGAGGUUGCAGUCAUGGAUCUGCAGGCCCACAAAGGAAGAACCAGCAGCUCUGAUGCACAGCAGCCAAUUCUACCAUCAGCCUGCCAAUCUCUGGAGCACUGGUCCUCACCAUCUUUUCUUUCCACUCGUGAAAUACAGAGUGUAUCAUCAUUGGUUUCCGCUACAGUCUUCACACUUAAGCCUUAUUACAAUCCUGCAACCAAUGAAAACACAGAUCCAGUGCCUGAGCUUCAACUUCCAGGAACUUCAUCUCUCUUUGAGGCCCAAGAUCAAAAAACACCACCUUCUCUGUGUUGGGAUAAUGAUCAGGAAGUCCAGCAGAGAAACCCAUCAGAUGACCUGCUGGAGGACAGGUCAAUAGGUCUCAUAUUCCCCAAAAACCUCUCGGAAGGAGAACCAGAUCCAGAGUCCCGAACCUUUUCAUCCCGUGAACUCCUACUGUUG
rnacentral:lncRNA from 1 species